UUCCCCCUCGGGCGACCCCCUCCUGCAAGUUGCCCCCUAGUCCCCGCCCCAGUCCAGCCCUCUCCCCCGCCAUAAGCGGGACUCCAGAAAGCCAGCUCCCACCCUCACAUCAGCCUCUGCCCCGCAAGCCUCGCCCGCGGUCCUGAAGGGUGGCCCCAGGCCUCCCCGAUGGGCUGCAGGGCCUCGGCUGGUGUGUGUAAGGGGGGGGGGGGCAGGGGAAGGCGAUGGGCCGUUUGGGAGUCCGCUGGGAGCGCGAGGGCCGACCGCGACCCGCUGUCCUAUCCCGGGCCCACCUCCACACACCAACGACCUCGCCUGGCGGCUCCCACAGUACCUGUGGUGGAAGCGGCAGCGGCGGCGGCCGCUCUCCCCUCUCCUCACACAGACAAUAUGGCGGCGGCGGAGGAGGAGACACACGGCUCGGCCGCCAGCCGCAGGGACCAGAGCGAGGCUGCAGCCGCCGCUGCCGGAAGCGGAAACCCCCUUCCUACCAGGAGGCGGGGCGGGACCGCUUCCGACUCCGCCCCACGCCGAAUCCGGCUGAGUGCGGCCAUGCUGGGAUGUGCUAAGGGGUCGCUGCAGGUGCCGUUCCGGACUGGGGGCGCAACAUGGGAGGAACUGUCGCCAGAAAGCAUACUAACGAGAUUUGCAGCGAUUAAGCGCGUUUUGUCUCAGCCCCUGUUAGGAACUGACGACAGAAAGAAGACGAAACUCCCAAAGCUAAACAGCCGGGAAGACAAUGUUCUGUGUCUGUUUAAGGAACCUAGAGCUUCUAUCCAAAUCCCCAGCACCAAGCAGACUGGUGUAGAGGAGUGGAAGAAAUAUAUAGCAGACGUGACAUGGAACCAAACUCAGCAGAGCCCAGCCAAGAUCGGCCAAAGCCCGGGCAAGGGAGGGACAAAUCAAUAUUUGCUGCUGUAAGCCCCAGACUUCGGGGGGGGGGGUGCUUUGCUAUGCAACAUUAUUAUAGUGAUAGCUGACACACCCAGUUCAUAGGGCUCAUGUCAGAAUUCAGUGACUAAAUAUAAUAAAGCCCUUAAAAAUAUGCUCCUGGGUGGCUCA
rnacentral:lncRNA from 1 species